UAACUGUCCCUGUUGAAGUCCCCAGAGCUCCAGUUGGAACUGAGGCACUAGCAGGUGUGUAAAGUUGGUCAUGCUUCUGUGCUGCGUGAUUCAUUUCAUACACAGAAACAGAAGAGGCUUCCAGAGAUCACUGGUACCAUCCCUGCCUGUCACCUUCCCAAGGUUGGCUGUGACUGAGACUUCAGAGACCUCAGGGACUUCUUUCAGUACUCACAGAAACCUCCUAGCCUUGGUGAUGGCACAUGGGGACUGUUUACUUACUCUUAGUCUGAAUGACUGCCAAGAAGGAAGGCAAAGGUAGAGCAGUCGGAUCGCUGGCUCUCCCCAUACUUCUAAUCUCAGACUUUAUUAGACUCCUUUCUGAGCCCAAGGACAAAGCUCACUUGAACAAAUGACUUUGAGUCAUGAAUGAAAACUCUUGCUCUUUCCAUAAUGAGAAAGGAUUAAGAGAUGGACAGGUUGAAAGUGUGUCUGCUGCGUAUCCUCCACCGUAUGACAAGGACACCAGUGCUCUUCGGGCUCUCAGAGGAAUUCCUAUCUCGGAGUUGAAGAACCAUGGCAUCCUCCGGGCCCUGACAGCAGAAGCAAAUGGAUGGGAGCCACGUGGUAAGGUCCCCUUUAGCGCCCUAGGAGCCUGGGUGGGAACCAAGUUAGAGGUCCCCGUGGUCUACUUUUCAUCAUUUGAAUUUCUCUCAGUACUUGUCCUAUAGAAUUUUACGAUUUAUCAUUCUUCAAGGAAAAUUAGAAUCAACACUGGAUUAGAAGUCAAAAGACUUGAGUCCUAAUCUAGCACUCAAAGCAGCUUAUUACGUGCCUUGCGCAAAUCAUAUCAUCUCCAUAUCUGCUGUGGAGGUUGAUCAGUGCCUUCUCUGUCCUCAAAGGGAUAUUGCGACAAUGAUACGAGACAGUGUAUGUGAAACGGCUUUGAAAAAGUAUCCUAUUUUAUCUGCUUUACAUGAUUCUUUCGUAUACUUUGUUUAAAGUUCAUUUCACUCGCUGAUUUAUGACACAGAAAGGCCCACUCACCAGGUGAGAAACACCUAGAGUCCCAUAUCUCUGGUUUAAAUCCUGCCUCUUUCACCCACCAGCUGUAUGACCUUGAGCAAGUUUCUUAACCUGCUAACCCUUACUUACUUCAUUUAUAAGACAGAAAGUGAGUCAGAACCUGUGUGAUGGGAAUUGUGUAAGGACUAUAUGAACUCAGGUGAAGUGCUUAGAGCACAGAUUAUAAAUCUAUAACGAGUGCUCAUUGCUAUGUAUUGUUAUCUUGAAAUUCUGCAAACUGAAAAUGUAAUCUCCACAAAUAUGGGGCUUGUUAAAAAUAUUCUAAUGUAGAAAAAUUA